rnacentral:lncRNA from 1 species
UCUCUCUGUCUCUCUCUCUCACUGCCUAACUCUCCCUGUCAAAAAAAAAAAAAAAAUCCUUUUACUUACUGACUCUUUACCACUUUAUUGUAAUUUUUUGCUUAUUUUUGGCCUCUUGAUCCUGGACAGGCAUUGGAGAUAUAAUGAUGACAGUUCUUGGUCAAUGUUAUAGAAGAGAUUAUACUAACUCUGGUUGGAAAAAAAUUCUGUAUGUCGAAUGCACCAUUGAAUUAACUGAAGGAAUAAACGUAGGUGUAUGUGGGUAAAUCAAAGCACUUCUCUCCACAUCUCUCUGCAGUUGCAAUCCAUUAGAGGAAGAAGUUAACCUCUAGUUAGCCUCUUUCAUGACUAGAGCAGUAGCUUACUUCAUAUUCACUGAUUGGGUAAGUAUUUACAAAUAGGACACAGCUUCUCUUAUAAAGGUCUGCAGUAACUCUACUCAGUCGCCACAAUGACCACAACUUCACAUGUUCCAACAUGCAACCACAAGCACAUCUGAAAAUCCUGAGAAAUUGCAAAUAAUGGGGGUAGAGAUACUCACUGGAGGUCCUGCAAGGUGCAGAGAAGCACUGGAUGUGAGCCCCUGCUCUCCCAUAGCCACAGGAUGCUGUACACAUUUACCUGGAGAACGUGAAACCCAAGUCUCUUAGCUCCUCUGAGACCACUCUCCUCCACCACCACCACGGUUCUGCCUCAUACGAAUGAAUGAUGUGGGCUUAGAAAAGGAUAGGAGUGCACCCCUAUGUCGAGCUAAAUGGCGUUCAGGACCUUUUGACGUGAAAACAAAGGUGAUCUGAAUAGUGUUUCAAAGUGACAUGAACUGAUACACACAUAGAGAGAGAGAGGGGAGAGGGGAGAGGGGACAGGGGACAGGGGAGAGGGGAGAGGGGACAGGAGGUGGGGGAGGGGGAGAGGGAGAGAGAGACACACACACAGCUCUAAUAUAUAUUUUCUUGUCACUGCCAUACAGCUCCAGUUCAUGCACAGCCAAAUGUUUUCGAGGAACACGGUCACCCUCUUUGUGGAGUGAAGAGAGACUGAAGGGAAGCAGGAAUCUGUUGACUGGGACACUGACAAUGCCCAGCUGCCACCACCAUCACAACCCCCUCACAACCACAGCCACGCACACACACACAGGUUUGCAGUGACGCAUGUAGCGUCUUUCUCUAAGAACAAACAG